UCUUUGCUAGUAUAUCGGUUUAGUACACGCGCCUGUCAUCGUAAUCACUGAUACUGAACGCGCGAAAGCUGGGUUCGACUCCCAGGCAAAGAG